GGCCACGAGUCGGUUCAAAUUAUGAACAGAUUAAAAUUGAACCAAGUCAACAGUUUCGAUUCCCCUAACAGGUUCCAGUUUCUCUCUUCCUCCUUGAAAUAAAAUUGGAACCGGCAGUUUCAAACCCACCCAAUUCAUAAUUUUUUUUUCUUUUUUUUAAAAUAAAUGUUGAAUUUUUUAAAUUUUUUACAUUAGAAUCCGUGUAACCACGAAUCAAAUUGAAAUUGGAACAAAAU
rnacentral:misc_RNA from 1 species